rnacentral:lncRNA from 1 species
GAGCUUUACAGUGGUGGCGGGCAGCCUGCGGUGCGCACGGCCACAGGGUGUGUGAGAGGAUGCGAGGUUGGCGGAGAAGGAAGAGUUGUGUGUCUGAGGAUCGUGUGGAGUUGCGAGUUGUGCUCUUUUGAGAAAUUUGCUGCUAUUCAGUAAAUGAUCCUCAUGUGAUGGACGAGGAAACUGAGGACAAGAGAAGGUGACACUGAGGAAUUCCAUGUCCGAUCUCUUCCUGAAACCUGGAGCAGAUGGUACUAAGUCACUCCAUUGUUAAUAAUUUCUUUGAGAGGAGUCUCAUUUUUGGCAUCUGCAGCAUAAUAGCUUCUUCACGUAAUUAGUGGACCAAUAAGAGGCAAAAUGAUUAAAUGACAAAUUAACCAACUCCCA